AGUAAGGCAGCCAGCUCUGCCAAGGAGCUUGCUGGAGCAGCCGUGGAGCCCGGAGUGACUGGCUGCCAUCCCACGAAGCCAGCGCUCGAAAUACCUUCAAGUCCCAGGUGUGACUUUUCAGUGGGAAGAAAGUGCUGCAGUAAUGCUGCUGUGAAGCCAAAUAUUUCAUUCUGAUAUGGCAGAAGGUCUCCCUAAGCUGCCAGGUGAUCCAGGCAAGCUCAGACUUGCCUUCUUCCUGCCUCGCCUUUCCAGAGUUCCCGGAUUACUGCAGCAGCAGCUGUUGUGAGAAUAUAAGUUCUUGGCUUGAUAACAAGAUGGUGCUGAAGGCGAAGAAGGAAGCCCCUGCCCCUCCCAAAGCUGAAGCCACCGCAAGGCUUUGAAGGCCAAGAAGGUCGUGCUGGAAGGCAUCCACAGCUUCACAAAGAAGAAGAUCUGAAGGUCACCUAGCUUCUGCUGUCCCAAGACGCUGUGGCUCUGGAGGCAGCCCACAUACCCUUGGAAGAGCGCCCCAGGAGAAGCAAGCUUGACCACUAUGCUGUCGUCAAGUUCCCCUGACCACAGAGUCAGCCAUGAAAAAGAUCGAGCACAACUACAUGCUCGUGUUCAUUGCGGAUGUGAAAGCCAACGACAAGCACCACAUCAAACAAGCUGUAA